rnacentral:lncRNA from 1 species
GGUAUUUAAUUUUGUGUGUUUUUGUUGUUGCGGUGGUGGUGGUAAUGAUGGUGGUUGUGGUCGUCGUCGUCGCCGUCGUCUUCGUUAUGAUGGUGUUGGUGACAGGGCAUGAUUUAAUUGUUAUGAUGAUGAUGAUGAUGAUGAUGAUGAUGAUGAUGAUGAUGGUGGUGGUGGUGGUGGUGGUGGUGGUGGUGGUGGUGGUGGUGGUGGUGGGUGGUGGUGGUGGUCAUCGUCGUCGUGAUGAUGCAAUAACUCCAGCGUGAGAAACCCAAAUUUGUUUUUGCUUUUGUUUUUCUUUAUUAUAUACUUCCUCUGAAACAUCACGACAUUUCCUCUUACCAACCACCAACACCAACACCACCACCAGCACCACACCUACCAUCACCUCUCUUUAUACCAAAACCACCAGUAACAAACAACAGCGCUAAGACUACCAUUGACGACAUCACUACGACCAAGCGAAUAUGACACCUGCAUAAUAACACAUUAAUAAUCGCUUCGCUAAUUUGCACUUACCUGUGUGGGUAAAACACGUUUAUGUUACAUAUAGGCGUAGGAGUAGCUGUGUGGUAAGGAGGUGAGGUGGGAAAUCUUUUAUUUAUUAUGUGACAUGUUUUGAAUUCUUGGAAUUUUGAAUUCUUUGGGAGUGGUCAAAUGGUGACGACACCGCUGAUGAGAACAGAAUACGAGUGGAAAAUUGUCUAAGGCUGUUCAUCAUUUUUUUAUAGGCUUAGGGGUGGCUGUGUGGUUAGUAGUUUGCUUACAAACCACAUGGUUCUAAUAUAACCUCGGGAUGACUAAAGCCUUGUGAGCGGAUUUGGUAGACGGAAACUGAAAGAAGCCCGUCGUAUAUAUGUAUAUAUAUAUAUAUAUGUGUGUGUGUGUGUGUGUGUGUGUGUUUGUUUGUCUGCCCGUGUUAGUCCCCCAACAUCGCUUGACAACCGAUGCUGGUGUGUUUACGUCCCCGUAACUUAGCGGUUCGGCAAAAGGGGCCGAUAGAAUAAGUACUAGGCUUACAAAGAAUAAGUCCUGGGGUCGAUUUGUUCGACUAAAAGGCGGUACUCCAGCAUGGCCACAGUCACAUGACUGAAACAAGUAAAAAAAAUAAGUUGCACACCUAUUUCAGUUUUUAUCGUUUAUUUAUUUGUUUCAGGCGUUAGUGUGGCCAUGCUGGAGUACAGCUGUGAAGAAUUUUUAGUCGAAUGAAUCGAGCCCAAUACUUUUCUUUAUCAUUAUUUUAAACUUGGUACUUUAUCGGUUCUCUUUGCCGAACCGCUAUCAUACGAGGACGUAAACACACCAGCACCGGUUGGCAGGCUGUGGUGGAGGACAAAAACAAGUACAAAAGUCACAUACACGCAUGCGGCACGCGCGUGCACCCGUACACACACACACAUACACACACACACACACACACACACACAAACGCCUGAGUUAUAUGUUAUAUUUAGAGAAGAGAGAAGGCAAUGACCACGAUGCUUUGCAAGGCUGCCCACUCUAAUAGCAAUAAGAUAUCCUUGAAUCGCAAGCUAAAGGCUGUGGUGAAGGCACUCGCGUGCGCGCGCGUGUAUGUGCGUCUGUGUGUGUAUGUGUGUGUAUGCGUGCGUGUGUGUGCGUGUGCGUGUCUGCGUGUGUGUAAGUAUUGCAGGUAUGCGUGUGUUUAUAGACAGACAGACAGAUAGAUAGAUAGAUAGAUAGAUAGAUAGAUAGAUUAGAUAGAUAGAUAGAUAGAUAGACAGACAGGCAGACAGACAGACAGACAGGCAGGCAGGCAGACAGGCAGACGGACAGACGGUCGGACGGUCGGACGGUCGGACGGACGGACGGUCGCACGGACGAAAGGACAGACAGACAGACAGAUAGACAUUCAGACAGACAGGUAGGCAGACAGACAGACAAACAAAAAGACAGACAGACUGACAGACAUACAGAUAGAUAGAUAGAUAGAUAGAUAGAUAGAUAGAUAGAUAGAUAGAUAGAUAGAUAGAUAGAUAGAUAGGCAAGCAGACAAAAGGACAGACAGACGGAUACAUACAGGCAGACGGAUGGACAACUAGACAUAGACAUAUACAAAUCUGAACAAUUCUUCCAUAAAAGUAUUUGUAGGCAUGAAUGAAGUGUGUACUGUCGCCGGGGUACGAACCUGUGAAAGACGUUGAGUUGGAUGCGUUAUCACGAGAGAUGAACUACAUGUCCUUGUUGCAUAACUUAGAAAUCGUGUUUUCCCUUAAAAAUUACAUGUAUACCUGAAGAUGAGUUCUGGGCGAAUGCCCAAGCGGAAUUUUGGAAAGAUUAAUGCUAUGUCAGUAUGUUAAAUGCAGUGUUUGGUUAGUCGUGACCAUUCGCCGCCUGCUCUUUGUUUGUCAUGUUUUAUUAUCUGAUCGCUGCUGCUACUGGUUGUCGCUUACUACCCUGAAAAUAUACGUCUGUAUACAUAAGGGUUGUGUGUGUUUGUGUUUGUAUUUCUGUGCAUUUGUGUUUGUGUGUAUGUGUGUAUAUA